AUUGAACGCUGGCGGCAGGCUUAACACAUGCAAGUCGAGCGGGGUGAUGGUGCUUGCACUAUCACUUAGCGGCGGACGGGUGAGUAAUGCUUAGGAAUCUGCCUAUUAGUGGGGGACAACAUCUCGAAAGGGAUGCUAAUACCGCAUACGUCCUACGGGAGAAAGCAGGGGAUCACUUGUGACCUUGCGCUAAUAGAUGAGCCUAAGUCGGAUUAGCUAGUUGGUGGGGUAAAGGCCUACCAAGGCGACGAUCUGUAGCGGGGCUGAGAGGAUGAUCCGCCGAACUGGGAAUUGGCCACGGCCCAGACUCCUACGGGGGGCAGCAGUGGGGAAUAUUGGACAAUGGGGGGAACCCUGAUCCAGCCAUGCCGCGUGUGUGAAGAAGGCCUUAUGGUUGUAAAGCACUUUAAGCGAGGAGGGAGCUCUUUUGGUUAAUACCCAAGAUGAGUGGACGUUACUCGCAGAAUAAGCACCGGCUAACUCUGUGCCAGCCGCCGCAGUAACAC
rnacentral:rRNA from 1 species